AAACAAUUAAACAAUAAUUUGUAAUAGUCUUCAAUUGUUCUCCAGUUUACUGGCGAGAUGUUUUAGUAAUGUACAUCAGAUUAUUGACUGAACAUUGAUUUUUCAAUCUCAUUUUGAACGUGUUGUUUAUUUGAUGAUUGGAAGAAUUCAUCCAGUUUUCCAAAAGGCAGGACAAAAUGUGACAAAUAAUGAUUUGAAUGAACAGAUUUGAUUAUUUGUUAUAAAUAUUAUAUCAUUGUUUGUUUUCUGUUCCACAGAUUCUGCCAGAGUGGAUUGAGUUCACUUCGAUUCCUGAAUUAUAGUAUAUUUAUUUGUCAAUCUUCCUGUCUUCAUCUAUACAUCUGGUAGCUGAAAUUCAAGGCUGUUGCCAGGCAGAACGUUAAGAAAGACCAUUCAGAUUUCACAGAUUAAGAGAGAAUAAUUUAAAUGAAUGUCUCCGCCUCCACUCACGAGAGAACCACGACGCAUGGGAAGUUCAUCGCUAUGAAAUCUCGUUUGAGAAGUCUCAUUCAGCACAGAUCACGAUAUUUGCCAUCAGUUCACGUGUGCCACACGUUGGCUGAAAAGACCUAAAGGAAGCAGUCAGCCCGGUCGUGUUAGUGGAGACUAUUCGUUCAGAAACAGAAGACACACAUUUGGAUUUCUUGCAGAUUUCCUCCGUCAUGCACUCACCUUUUUAACUCUUUAUCCCACACACAUACUGAAAUGGCAUCUGGAUCAAUAUUAAGACUUGCAGUGUUUUUUUUUUCUUUUCUUUUUUUUUUUUUUGCAGAUGCAACUUUGUUUUAAUUAUAAGCUUGUAAUGAAUACAUUUUCACUUUCCAACAACCCAUAUACAGUAUAUAUAUAUAUACACAGAACCAAUAAUAAAAAUAAUAGGUGAAAAAUAGUCUUAUUGGUAAAGCUUUGUUUUAUCUUUUUCGAGCUUCAUAAACUGUACUUGGUGUCUUCCUAAUGCUUAUAUCAAAUAAAAAAGAAAGAAAAUAUUUUAAUAUUUUAACCCAAGUUUUCAUUCAUUUAGCAAGCCCAGCUCAUAUUGAGAAAAAGUAAUUUUUCAUAAUUGGUUACUUUUUUUAGGGAGUAACACAAUAUUGUAAAGCAUUAUUUCUGAUUCGAGUCUACACAAAUUAAAGUAGAUCGUACACAGUUUCAAAUAAAGUAUUGCUUUUAUAUGUACGAGCAAAAAUGAUGGUGCAUUUUAAGUUGUUUCCACUGUAACAGUUCCACACUCCACACAAACACUGAAUAUUGCAGUGGACGCAGACGUGAAGAGAAGAAGCAUCUUGGGGAUUUCUUUGGGAUGUCGAGUGCUACCCUGCCACAUGAGUGACGCCGUCGUGUCUUAUUCUGUCAUCUUCAGCUGAAGAGCUGUAUGUAUUGUGAGCUAUAAUGGAGAAAUGUGUCCGUGUGCUUCUGGUCAGGCGUGUUCAUAUGUACAGUACAGCGACUACAUGAACAAGAAGGAGGCGCUUCCCAAGUAACACAGACUCUGCUUUCUGAGUUUUAAGGUUGUGUGUUCACUUUAAUUAUGAUAAUGAUGGUGUUUUUGUAGGGCUGCCUUCCAGUACGCCAUCAAAAUGUCCCAAAGAAACCAGUGAGAAGGCUGAGCUAGAUCGACUGGAAGAAAAUCAGUGCUGUGAGUGUACAGACUCAUCUGCUGCAUUCUGCCUAGUGUAUAAGAAAUCUGAAAUGAGCAGUGAGCAACUGGUCUGUGAUAUUUAUCAUCAGUGAUAAUAUUGUAAUUUGAGCAAUGUGCGAGUUGAGUGUAAGUAUGUCACUCACUUUGCAAAAAAACUAACAAAAACAUAUCUUGAGAGUGUGAAAGCAUUCAGAAGCCGUACCUUAAAUACCUUAAUCAGGUCAGUGCUACGUCAGCACAGAAGUUUAUCAUUUGGAAAUAUCUAAAACAUUCCAGCGAUUUUUACUCCAUUCAAGCGCAAGAAGAUGCAAAAGAGAACUUAAUUUGGCACUGUCCCAGUCUGAGGCACACACACAAACUGUGCACAGUAGAUAUGAUGCAUGUUGACUUAUAUCUUACCAAGAUGUGGUUUUAUAGUUUAGUUAAAAAAAUGUUAGUUAAAAAAAAUAAACAAGUUGCCAGCCACCACCAGCAUUUCUGAUCAUU